rnacentral:rRNA from 1 species
AUACGGAGGGUGCAAGCGUUAUCCGGAUUCACUGGGUUUAAGGGGUGCGUAGGUGGGUCUGUAAGUCAGUGGUGAAAUCUCCGAGCUUAACUCGGAAACUGCCGUUGAUACUAUAGGUCUUGAAUCAUCUGGAGGUAAGCGGAAUAUGUCAUGUAGCGGUGAAAUGCUUAGAUAUGACAUAGAACACCAAUUGCGAAGGCAGCUUACUACGGAUGCAUUGACACUGAGGCACGAAAGCGUGGGGAUCAAACAGGAUUAGAUACCCUGGUAGUCCACGCCCUAAACGAUGGAUACUCGACAUUUGCGAUAUACUGUAAGUGUCUGAGCGAAAGCAUUAAGUAUCCCACCUGGGAAGUACGACCGCAAGGUUGAA